rnacentral:misc_RNA from 1 species
CGGCCCAUAGAUUGGGUCGUGACAGGCAGCUUAGUGAUGGUGGUAGUAUUGAUAAUAAAUAAAAAUAUCAAAAUAAGUAAUAAUGACUAUAUCUAUUUUUAUAUAGUGACCAUUACAUUAUUAUAAAUAUCAUUAAUUACGUUAGGCAAUUGUUACUCAAUUACGUUAAAUUUUUUAACAUUACAAAAUAACGUACUUAAAUAUGCAAUGCAAUAGCAAUUACAUUACAAUUUUAAUUAAUUCAUAUCAAAUAUAGCCUAAAUUCAAUAAUUUAUUUUAUUUUAAUAAAUUAACUUCAUAUCUAGUCACGCAGUCAUACAUUAAUCAGUCAAAACUAUGGUCGAUAAACUAUUUAUAUUUAAAGGAAAUUCAACAAAACCCUAUAAUUCAUAUAGAAAUUGGUAUAUGUUCUACUCAAAUAAAAUUCUAGCAUUAUAUAAUUUAGAAUUACUUUAAAAAAAUUAUGCUAACUAUUUCUAAUAUUAUUCCAUCUCCAUUCUCGAUUGCAUCAACUAAAUAUCUAUAAAUAUAUAUAUAUGUACACUCUUUUUAACUUCCCGUAAUAUCUUAAACUUUUUAUAUAUAUAUAUAUUUUUUUAUAUUUAAUAAUAUUCACUAGAAGAUCUUAUCCAAUGAAAAAUACACGCAAUUCUAAAAAUAAUUCAAGAAAUCUAUAUAAAAGUUCUAAUUUCCACACCAACAUAUCUUAAUAUGAAUGCACCAACAUAAACAUUUUAAUUCAAAAUAAAUUUAUUUCAUUUAAAAACUCAUUUUUCAUAUAAACUAAGAGUGCGUUACUUUUUUUUUUUUUUUUUUUU